UACAGAGGUGGCGAGCGUUGUUCGGAAUUACUGGGCGUAAAGGGCGCGUAGGCGGUCUUGUAAGUCUUGUGUGAAAUCCCUCGGCUUAACUGAGGAACUGCACGAGAUACUGCGAGACUUGAGUUCGGGAGAGGGAAGCGGAAUUCCGGGUGUAGCGGUGAAAUGCGUAGAUAUGACACAGAACACCGAUUGCGAAGGCAGCUCACUAAACUGUAACUGACGCUGAGGCACGAAAGCGUGGGGAGCAAACAGG
rnacentral:rRNA from 1 species